rnacentral:rRNA from 1 species
UACGAAGGGGGCGAGCGUUGUUCGGAUUUACUGGGCGUAAAGGGCGCGCAGGCGGUUCUGUUUGUCGAGUGUGAAAGCCCCGGGCUCAACCUGGGAACUGCGCUCGAAACGGCGGAACUAGAGUUCGGGAGAGGAGAGUGGAAUUCCCAGUGUAGAGGUGAAAUCGUAGAUAUUGGGAAGAACACCGGUGGCGAAGGCGGCUCUCUG